ensembl:lncRNA LINC01721 long intergenic non-protein coding RNA 1721
AUACGACAGGAAAAAUGGAGAAUGGAUAGUGAGGCGUGAUCAGCAGGCUCUUCCAUGACAACCAGCAGUGCCUUCUUGCUGCAUCCUCUGGAGAGAAGGAGCCCUGCGUCCUCAGGGAAGGCAGAAGGGCAGGCAAGCCGGAUACUGUGAUGGUGCCUCUUCCAUUCACAAGGGAGGAGCCCUCACAGCCUUGUCAUCACCUCCUAAAGGCCUUGCCUUUUAAUUUGAUCACAUGGGCCAUGAAGUUUCAACACCUGAAUUUUGGCAGAAAUGCAUUCAAACCACAGCAGACCCAUUAUCCUAUUUCUAAGGAACCUGGGAUAAGACAAGUCCAUAGGACAGGCAUGGACAAGCGUCCUGAGCCCUGGGGCCAGGGGAAAUCCAAGGUAACAAGGGAAAUUGGCGAUCCCAGCCAGGUGCAUGGCUAGAGCAGUUCUUUCCUUCGGAAGGGCAGCGAUGGAAAUUUCAGCUCUACUUUUUCCUUUUCCCGAGCUGUGUGAUCUUGAGCAGCUUCCUUGCAGCUCAUCCUUCAUGUCCUAAAACAGAUGAUACAGCAACAUCAGCAAGGUGGCAGACUAAGGAACUUCAGACACUACUUACUACCCCCAGAAACAUUUUUUUAAAAACAAUUAGAGGACCUUUGGAAAAUAGUGAAAAGGUACAGGAGCCAAGCAACUGCCCAUUCAAGAAAAAGCAACAUUCAAAAUGCAGGAGAUUUUGUGGAUUUGUACUCCCCCUUUCUGCACCCUUCCCUGGCACUGAGCAGUGUUGGUUUGGAGGAGGUGGCAGCCCAGCUCCCAGUUCUUUCCCUCUAAUGUUAGUGAGCAGAGUCUAACCUGUCUGGGGAUGGCUUGAAGGAUUAGUCCUGCUUUGUUCAACUCAGAGCUCAGAAUAAGAGAAGCAGUUUAAUUCAGAUUGCAGGCUGAGAAAAAGCUAUGGAAAGCAGCAGGAACUGCUCUUAAAAACUGCAGGGAGGCUACAGAGACUGAAGAUGCCUGGGCAAGAGAUUUCAAAUGGAAGCAUGUAAUAAACCCUCUAAGGGCACACAAAGAAGCUGGAACAAGACUUUUGGAAAAUUAAGAUGUCUAAAAGGAGCCAUGUUUAUGGGGAAAUAGUUAAAGCCACAUGAAGGCUCAGACGAGAUGCAUACUCAGAAAAAACCUGAGAAGAUCUUAAGCUACUCCUUGGGCUGACUCCAAGGCUCAGAACAUGUCCUGAGAAUUAGUGAAGAUCUUCCCCAUCACAUAGCCUGUCCGCAAAUACUAGGAGAAGUGGCUGUUUUUUCAAAUUCUUAAUUCUCAACAACGACAACAAAAAUCACAAGGCGUACAAAGACACCAGAAAAUACAACUUCUUCAGGGAAGAAAAUGAAUUGUCGGAAACCACCCGUAAAUCCAAGAAAAUGAUGGAGGGACUCUCUGUAGUAUUGUGUCCGGAAUUGGUGGGUUCUUGGUCUCACUGACUUCAAGAAUGAAGCCGCGGACCCUCGCGACGGCAGAGACCAAGAGAAAAUACUGUUACAUGGUUACAAGAUCAAGUUCACAAGGACAUAAACAAGAUGGAGACCUCAUCCCGUUUCUUCGUUUGUUUCAGGGAUCUGUAACAAAGUUUAUUACUGACCAGCUUGCUGGGCUAUCUUGAACAGCAAGCUUAUGGGGUCCUAAGCUCAUGUUCUAUUUUAAGGUACCUCUCUUCAUGGCAGAAUGACACAGAAAGACAAAUUCACAGCACAAAGUUCACCAGAUUCGUUACAGCUUAAGACUAGCCUCAUGAAUCCUUUUUCCUAUUAAUUAAAACUUUGCAAGAGAUAGUGAUUUUUACCAUUCCCGCAUCCAUUUUGCACAGUGAAGGAGUGAGAGAGAGAAGAAUUGUCUGCGCUAUCUAAGGUGAGGAGUUCAGGGGGGCCAGAGAAAGACCCACCCAUUGCAGAGACACUGAAUUAAUAGUUCAGGUGGCAGCUGGUUGGUUGAUAAAGAAUCUUUUCCAGUCCCAUCAGCUCUCAACUUUUCCCCUUUGGGGAGAAAAAGUUCUCCAUGUUCCAAAGUCCUGUAUAUGCCUAAUCCUGUCAGCCAUAGCUGCCAGCAAAGAGUGCAAGGCAGAUUAAUCCAAAGAGAAUAGUGGUUAAAAUCCUAUAGUGCCAAGUCCACUUUUGACCAAGAGGGACUUUACUGCACCCCAUCCCAUCCUUUACCUAGGUAAAAUGUACCCCAUUGCUUACCCAAAGUCAGCCAAUUGGUACUGCAGUCUAUUUCCUUUGGAAUGGGAUAGCAACUUAGCUAAAAGGUUAGCAGAUUUAAUUUUUUUAAGUAUAUUUGUCACUUAAGCUUUUUAUUUGCCUUUCACAAAGUCGUUAAAUAAAAAUGCCAAAAUCUUUUU